rnacentral:tRNA from 1 species
GGGAAAGUGGCUCAGUGGUAGAGCGCUUGCCUUGCGUGCAUGAGGGUCUGGGUUCAAUUCCUCAGCACCA